UACGGGGGGAGCAAGCGUUGUUCGGAUUUACUGGGCGUAAAGGGCGCGUAGGCGGCCACCGCAAGUCGAUUGUGAAAUCUCCGGGCUUAACCCGGGAAAGGUCAACCGAUACUGCGGGGCUAGAGUGCAGAAGGGGCAACUGGAAGUUCUCGGUGUAGCGGUGAAAUGACGUAGAUAUCGUAAGGAAGACCAGUGGCGAAGGCGGGU
rnacentral:rRNA from 1 species